AGAGACAAUAUGACCAUCGAGACAGGGCAGAGACAAUAUGACCAUCAGAACAUAUGACCAGUCAGAGACAAUAGGACCAGUCAGAGACAGGGCAGAGACAAUAUGACCAGUCAGAGACAAUAUGACCAGUCAGAGACAGGGCAGAGACAAUAUGACCAGUCAGAGACAAUAUGACCAGUCAGAGACAGGGCAGAGACAAUAUGACCAGUCAGAGACAAUUGACCAGGUC
rnacentral:lncRNA from 1 species